AGAAGCUUGCUUCUCUUGAGAGCGGCGGACGGGUGAGUAAUGCCUAGGAAUCUGCCUGGUAGUGGGGGAUAACGUUCGGAAACGGACGCUAAUACCGCAUACGUCCUACGGGAGAAAGCAGGGGACCUUCGGGCCUUGCGCUAUCAGAUGAGCCUAGGUCGGAUUAGCUAGUUGGUGAGGUAAUGGCUCACCAAGGCGACGAUCCGUAACUGGUCUGAGAGGAUGAUCAGUCACACUGGAACUGAGACACGGUCCAGACUCCUACGGGAGGCAGCAGUGGGGAAUAUUGGACAAUGGGCGAAAGCCUGAUCCAGCCAUGCCGCGUGUGUGAAGAAGGUCUUCGGAUUGUAAAGCACUUUAAGUUGGGAGGAAGGGCAGUUGCCUAAUACGUAACUGUUUUGACGUUACCGACAGAAUAAGCACCGGCUAACUCUGUGCCAGCAGCCGCGGUAAUACAGAGGGUGCAAGCGUUAAUCGGAAUUACUGGGCGUAAAGCGCGCG
rnacentral:rRNA from 1 species